rnacentral:rRNA from 1 species
UACGUAGGGUGCAAGCGUUGUCCGGAAUUAUUGGGCGUAAAGAGCUCGUAGGCGGUCUGUCGCGUCUGCUGUGAAAACUCGGGGCUUAACCCCGGGCCUGCAGUGGGUACGGGGCAGACUAGAGUGCGGUAGGGGAGACUGGAAUUCCUGGUGUAGCGGUGAAAUGCGCAGAUAUCAGGAGGAACACCGGUGGCGAAGGCGGGUCUCUGGGCCGUAACUGACGCUGAGGAGCGAAAGCAUGGGGAGCGAACAGG